rnacentral:rRNA from 1 species
AUGGGAACGACUGUAAACAGAAAUGUACUAGGCAUCUUGAUCAACAAGAGCCUCAAGUAUGGAGUGGUAGACGUUAAGAGUCGGAUUAUCUUGGUCAAGCUGAUAGUUGGGGACUUAGUUCUCAAUGUUAUCAGCGCGUAUGCCCUCAAGUAUGGAGUGGUAGAUGUCAAUAGUCAGAUUAUCUUGGUCAAGCUGGUAGUUGAGGACUUGGUUAUCAAUGUUAUCAGCGCGUACGCUCCACAAGUAGGCCACAUGAGAACACCAAGAGGGAGCUCUGGGAAGGACUGGAGGACAUGGUUAGGAGUGUACCUAUUGGCGAGAAGCUCUUCAUAG